AUUGAACGCUGGCGGCAUGCCUUACACAUGCAAGUCGAACGGCAGCACGGACUUCGGUCUGGUGGCGAGUGGCGAACGGGUGAGUAAUAUAUCGGAACAUACCUUGUAGUGGGGGAUAACUAUCCGAAAGGAUAGCUAAUACCGCAUACGCUCUAAGGAGGAAAGUGGGGGAUCGCAAGACCUCAUGCUAUAAGAGUGGCCGAUAUCUGAUUAGCUAGUUGGUGAGGUAAAGGCUCACCAAGGCGACGAUCAGUAGCUGGUCUGAGAGGACGACCAGCCACACUGGAACUGAGACACGGUCCAGACUCCUACGGGAGGCAGCAGUGGGGAAUUUUGGACAAUGGGGGCAACCCUGAUCCAGCAAUGCCGCGUGAGUGAAGAAGGCCUUCGGGUUGUAAAGCUCUUUUGUCAGGGAAGAAACGGUUGUGGCUAAUAUCCAUGGCUAAUGACGGUACCUGAAGAAUAAGCACCGGCUAACUACGUG
rnacentral:rRNA from 1 species